AGUAGAGACAUGUUCUGCCCGCUGCUGGAAGGUUCUGAUGACUGAGAGUUUGUGUUCCAGUGGGGGGUGUGAGUCAGAAAGAAGAUACUGGUCUGUAGGUCAGAAGAUUCAACAGAGGAGACAGAGACUUCCUGACCAGGAUGCCCCGCCCCCUGCAGCUCACCUGUACUCACCUGGACCCCCCAUGAAGAAUCAUGAUAACAGCAACUAGAACCUCCUGUUCUGUUUAGAUCCGUUAGUCUGAGUCACUGUUUACCUUUACUGACAUAGAAAGUGUUUAUAGAUCAGUUUCUGUCUCCUUUAACCUCCUGAUUGUUUCUACUGUUUUCUAUAUUUUCAGUGUUUCUGUAAAAAUCUGGUAAAACAUCAGUGAAUAAAUGUAGAUCUAGAAGCUGA